UACAGAGGGUGCGAGCGUUAAUCGGAAUUACUGGGCGUAAAGCGUGCGUAGACGGUUAUUUAAGUCGGAUGUGAAAGCCCCGGGCUCAACCUGGGAAUUGCAUUCGAGACUGAAUAGCUAGGGUGCGGUAGAGGGAAGCGGAAUUUCCGGUGUAGCGGUGAAAUGCGUAGAGUAAUCAGGAAGAACACCCGUGGCGAAGGCGGCUCUCUGGGACGGUACUGACGCUGAGACGCGAAAGCGUGGGGAGCGAACAGGAU
rnacentral:rRNA from 1 species